UUGGUUAGGUUUACAAACAAGGGUCAUUUCUAAGGCCAUUGAAAACGAAAUUGCCGAUGCAAAAGAGACAUUCACUGUACACUAUUCACACAUCUCAACUUCGUUCCCUUUGUUUCUCAUUUGAAACCUUCACAACUCUUAUUUCACAACUCAAUUUUUGUUUUUCACUAUUUUUCUUCCAAGCAAGCAUUCAUUUUCAUUUUCUCUAUUUUUUUUCUUUUCUUUUCACAUCGUAUUCACAAAACAGAUGUUUCUCUUUUCUCAUUUUUUUU
rnacentral:lncRNA from 1 species